GACUCGGUUGGGCGGUCCGCUUAACGGCGUGUACUGUCUGACUGGGCCUUACCUCUUGGUGAGCCAGUGUGCCCUUUAUUGGUGUGCAUUGGGGAACCAGGACUUUUACCUUGAGAAAAUUAGAGUGUUCAAAGCAGGCGCACGCUUGUAUAGAUUAGCAUGGAAUAAUAGAAUAGGACU
rnacentral:rRNA from 1 species